rnacentral:rRNA from 1 species
GAUGAACGCUGGCGGCGUGCCUAAUACAUGCAAGUCGAGCGAACAGACGAGGAUCUUGCUCCUUCGACGUUAGCGGCGGACGGGUGAGUAACACGUAGGUAACCUACCUAUAGGACUGGGAUAACUUCGGGAAACCGGAGCUAAUACCGGAUAAUAUUUCGAACCGCAUGGUUCGAUAGUGAAAGAUGGCUUUGCUAUCACUUAUAGAUGGACACGCGCCGUAUUAGCUAGUUGGUAAGGUAACGGCUUACCAAGGCAACGAUACGUAGCCGACCUGAGAGGGUGAUCGGCCACACUGGAAGUGAGACACGGUCCAGACUCCUACGGGAGGCAGCAGUAGGGAAUCUUCCGCAAUGGGCGAAAGCCUGACGGAGCAACGCCGCGUGAGUGAUGAAGGUCUUCGGAUCGUAAAACUCUGUUAUUAGGGAAGAACAAACGUGUAAGUAACUGUGCACGUCUUGACGGUACCUAAUCAGAAAGCCACGGCUAACUACGUG